AUUAGCGUAUUUGGGGACAUUUAGUCUUCAGACGAUUCUCAAACUUUCAAUGCGCAAGGGUGUUGCUGCUUAAUUGAGCUUCACCGGUAAAAACGUCGGCCCUGUGGGCCACUUUUGGUAAGCAGAACUGGCGAUACGGGAUGAACCGUAAGCAUGGUUAAGGUGCCAAACUACUCGCUUAUAGAUCCCACAAAAGGUGUUGAUUCAUCGAGACAGCAGGACGGUGGCCAUGGAAGCCGGAAUCCGCCAAGGAGUGUGUAACAACUCACCUGCCGAAUGAAUUAGCCCUGAAAAUGGAUGGCGCUUAAGCGGGUGACCGACACCAUGCCGUCUGAAUGAUAAAUUUCAGAUGAGUAGGAGGACGUGGUGAUCGUGACGAAGUAUGCGUGCGAACGCGUAUCGAACGAUCACUAGUGCAGAUCUUGGYGGUAGUAGCAAAUAUUCAAGCGAGAUCCUUGAAGGGCGAAGUGGGGAAGGGUUCCACGCUAACAUUGAUUGGCGUGGGUGAGUCGUUCCUAAGCCGAGUGGCAUUGCUAWGUACGGCGAAAGGGAAGCGGGUUUACAUUCCCGCACACGGAUGUGGAGGCGGUGACGCUUUAUUGGGGCGAACACGCUGGCGAUGGCGCUGGGCAGAGUUGUCUUUUCUGUUUGACCGUUUGCGCAUGCGGUGUGGAGUCCGCUUGUCGGGAGAAACACGCAUGCGCGGGCAGAGCGCCGGGGCUUUUCCGGCGUCCAGCUCGCCAUCGACGGCCCUUGAAACUUUGCCUGCUGGUUUUAGAAUCCACGCCGUGGCGUACCGAUCACCGCAUCAGGUCCCCAAGGUGAACAGCCUCUGCUCAAUAUGAAAAAUGCAGGUAAGGGAAGUCGGCAAAUUAGACCCGUAACUUUGGGAAAAGGGUUGGCUCUAGUGCUGCGUGGGAGUGGKUGUCAAGUUGUGGCGCUCUCGAAGGUGCUGGUUUGCGCGAUACUUCGGUGUUGUUCGACAGGCGCCAUUGAUUGUGCCGCUCUUGACGACGCCCACAGCAUGCAGCAAACUAGAACUGCAACGGGCAAAGGGAAUCCGACUGUUUAAUUAAAACAAAGCAUUGCGAGGGCCGGGCCGGUGAU
rnacentral:rRNA from 1 species